UCCCCUUCCACACUGUGGAAGCUUUGUUCUUUCGCUCUUUGCAAUAAAUCUUGCUGCUGCUCACUGUUUGGGUCCACACUGCUUUUAUGAGCUGUAACACUCACCGCAAAAGUCUGCAGCUUCACUCCUGAAGCCAGCGAGACUACGAGCCCACCGGGAGGAACGAACAACUCCAGAUGCCCCGCCUUAAGAGCUGUAACACUCACUGUGAAGGUCUGCAGCUUCACUCCUGAGCCAGCGAGACCAGGAACCCACCAGAAGGAAGAAAUUCCAAACACAUCCGAACAUUAGAAGGAACAAACUCCAGACGCGCCACCUUAAGAGCUGUAACACUCACCGCGAGGGUCCGUGGCUUCAUUCUUGAGGUCAGUGAGACCAAGAACCCACCAAUUCCGGACACAAUAACAGAGAUGGGCAUUUUUCAGGGAAUCCAGUCAGAUUGCAAGAUUUAAAAGUGAUGACAUUUUGUACAGCAAACAUCACCUUCUGGUUUUGCAGUCUCUGAAGGCCAGACCACUUUGAUGACUUUCUUCAGGUUGGUUUUAUACAGUAAAAGAAGGAGGAAAAGAACCAGGAUUGGGAGGUCACAGAACCUGAAAUCAGCAUGAUUGCCUCUGUGGACUUCGGUUUCAGUUACUCACACCUGGGCUUUUUAGAAGUAAUUUGAAUGGAUACAGUCAAAGCUCAGCCUCUAGAAGAUCCCAAAUGACCCCACUGUAGGAGUAUGAGAAGAACGUUCAGGAAGAAGGGGUUCAGGUGGUAGAUGAUAAGAAUCUACAGGUGGCACAAUAGACAUAUUACCUUCUUUGGUGGAGUCUGUAAAGACAUUACUAAAGUUUAAUAAUAAAGCAUGAAUAUUCAGACCCUUCUUUUCUGCCUUCUAAGAGUUAAUGAGUGAAAUGUUGAAUUGGAGGAAGAAGAAACAUUCAUUGACUUGUUUUAAACAAGAAAGAGAGGAGAGGUGCUCUUAACAUAAAAUGAUAGACUCAUAAGAGAGUGGGAAAGUUUGGCAUGGGCUGGAGUUUGAAGACAUUGGGGCUUUUGAAAAGAAUAUUUAUUGGGCAGCCAUCAUUAAUUUGAAGUCUAAGGUGUUGAUUUCCAAGAAAGAUCUUGUUCUUCAAACUCUGUUACAGCGUCUUCUCUGGAGAAGUCAACAGUGAGAUGGGCUAAAUGAAGAAGGAGCAGCUUAUUGUCUUUGUUGGUUUUCUUUAUUUUCCUUCGAAGCAUCUGGGGGAAGAGGAAGACAAUGGAUGAGAUGGCGUAUGUUCUUUCCGCCCUGUGAAUGAAUCAGAUUUGAACUCCUAAGCAAAAUAGAAAAUGCAGAAAUGGUGCUCAGGCAAAACCUGAGAGACACCGGGCUCAAGCGACUCUCCUCUGAAGUCCAUCUGAUAAAGUCUGAAUUAUGGAUAAGUCCUUUCCCCCUCAAUAGUCUACUGCUUACUAAAGUGUAGCUCAAUGACUCUGUGGGCUUGGGUAAUCAGCAGUCUCAGAUUAACAGACGUGUGUAGGAUUUCAGUCCCAUUUGAAUACACCCGAUGGAUGUACGACCUUGAGAAAUUUACUUAACACUUCCAGGUCAGCCCGGCGUGGUGGCUUAUGCCUGUAUUUCCAGCACUUGGGGAGGCCAAGCCGGGUGGAUCACGAGGUCAGGAGUCCGAGACCAGCCUGGCCAACAUGGUGAAAACCUGUCUCUACUAAAGAUACAAAAAUUAUCUGGGUGUGGUGGUGGGCGCC
rnacentral:lncRNA from 1 species